rnacentral:rRNA from 1 species
GAAUUGAAGAGUUUGAUCAUGGCUCAGAUUGAACGCUGGCGGCAGGCUAACGCACAUACAGUCGAACGGUAGCACAGAAGGCUUGCUCUCGGGUGACAGUGGCGGACGGGUGGUAAUGUCUGCAGGAAACUGCCUGAUGGAGGGAUAACUACCAAACGGUGGCUAAUACCGCAUAACGUCGCAAAGACCAAGAAGGGGGACCUUCGGGCCUCUUGCCAUCAGAUGUGCCCAGAUGGGAUAGCUUGUUGGUGAGGUAACGGCUCACCAAGGCGACGUCUAGCUGGUCUGAGAGGAUGACCCAGCCACACUGGAACUGAGACACGGUCGAACUCCUACGGGAGGGCAGCAGUGGGGGAAUAUUGCACAAUGGGCGCAAGCCCUGAUGCAGCCAUGCCGCGUGUAUGAAGAGCCUUCGGGUUGUAAAGUACUUUCAGCGGGGGAGGAGGAAGGUGUUGUGGUUAAUAACCACAGCAAUUUGGCGUUACCCGCAGAAGAAGCUUUCGGCCAACUCCGUGCCAGCAGCCGCGAUACGGAGGUGCAAGCGUUAAUCGGAAUUACUGGGCGUAAAGCGCACGCGAGCGCGGUCUGUCAAGUCGGAUGUGAAAUCCCCGGGCUCAACACGAACUGCAUUCGAAACUGGCAGGCUUGAGUGUCUUGUAGGGGGUAGAAUUCCGGUGUAGCGGUGAGAAAUGGCGAGAUCUGGAGGAAUACCGGUGGCGAAAGGCGGCCACAGACAAAAGACUGACGCUCAGGUGCAGCGAUAUAAGGGAACAACAAGAAGUUAAAUACCACACAGUAGUCCACGCCGUAAACGAUGUCUACGGAGGUUGUGCCGCGAGGCGUGGCUUCGGAGCAGCGCGUUAAGUACGGGGUACGACGCAGGUUAAAACUCAAAUAAUUGACGGGGGCCCGCACAAGCGGUGGAGCAUGUGGUUUAAUUCGAUACGCGAAGAACCUUACGGUCUUGACAUCCACAGAACUUUCAGAAGAUGGACUGGUGCCUUCGGGAACUACAAUGAGACAGGUGCUGCAUGGCUGUCGUCAGCUCGUGUUGUGAAAAUGUUGGGUUAGAAGUCCUGACGCAACCCUUACAUCCUUUGUUGCCAGCGGUCCGGCCGGGAACUCCAAAGGGAGACUGCCAGUGAUAAACUGGAGGAAGGUGAGGUUGACGUCAGGGCAUCAUGGCCCACCCGGCCCGGGGGCUACACACGUGCUACAAUGGCGCAUACAAAGAAAGCGACCUCGCGAGAGCAAGCGGACCUCAUAAAAGUGCACGUCGUAGUCAGAUUGAGUCUGCAACUCGACUCCAUGAAGUCGGAAUCGCUAAUGUCGUGGAUCAGAAUGCCACGGUGAGGAAUACGUUCCCGGGCCUUGUACACCGCCCGUCACACCAUGGGGAGUGAGUUGCAAAAGAAGUAGGUAGCUUAACCUUCGGGGAGGCGCUUACCGCUUUGUGAUUCAUGACUGGGGUGAAGUCGUAACAAGGUAACCGUAGAGCCUGCGGUUGGAUCACCUCUUAC